UACGUAGGGUGCGAGCGUUGUCCGGAAUUAUUGGGCGUAAAGGGCUCGUAGGCGGUCCGUCACGUCAGGAGUGAAAACUCGGGGCUCAACCCCGAGCCUGCUUCUGAUACGGGCGGACUAGAGGUAUGCAGGGGAGAACGGAAUUCCUGGUGUAGCGGUGAAAUGCGCAGAUAUCAGGAGGAACACCGGUGGCGAAGGCGGUUCUCUGGGCAUUACCUGACGCUGAGGAGCGAAAGUGUGGGGAGCGAACAGG
rnacentral:misc_RNA from 1 species